CUUGUUGGUGAGGUAAUGGCUCACCAAGGCGACGACGGGUAGCCGGCCUGAGAGGGUGACCGGCCACACUGGGACUGAGACACGGCCCAGACUCCUACGGGAGGCAGCAGUGGGGAAUAUUGCACAAUUGGGCGAAAGCCUGAUGCAGCAACGCCGCGUGAGGGAUGACGGCCUUCGGGUUGUAAACCUCUUUUAGUAGGGAAGAAGCGAAAGUGACGGUACCUGCAGAAAAAGCACCGGACUAACUACGUGCCAGCAGCCGCGGUAAUACGUAGGGUGCAAGCGUUGUCCGUGAAUUAUUGG
rnacentral:rRNA from 1 species